rnacentral:rRNA from 1 species
GGCCAGCAUCAGUUUUAGCGUUGAUAUAAAUCCAUCGGAAUGUGCUCUCCUCGGUAGAGUGUAUAGCCUGUGGGAAUACAGCCAGCUGGGACUUAGGAUUGCGACUUUUGUAAGGAAUGCUGGGAUGAU